UACGUAGGUGGCUAGCGUUGUCCGGAUUUAUUGGGCGUAAAGAGCUCGUAGGCGGCUCAUUGCGUCAACCGUGAAAACCAGCAGCUCAACUGUUGGCUUGCGGUUGAUACGGGUGGGCUGGAGUUCGGUAGGGGGGACUGGAAUUCCUGGUGUAGCGGUGAAAUGCGCAGAUAUCAGGAAGAACACCCGUGGCGAAGGCGGCUCUCUGGUACGUGACUGACGCUGAGACGCGAAAGCGUGGGGAGCAAACAGG
rnacentral:rRNA from 1 species